rnacentral:tRNA from 1 species
GGAAAUGUGGCUUGGUGGUAGAGUGCUUGCCUAGCAUGCAUGAAGCCCUGGGUUCGAUUCCUCAGUACCA